rnacentral:rRNA from 1 species
AGCGAACGCUGGCGGCAGGCCUAACACAUGCAAGUCGAACGAUCCUUCGGGAUAGUGGCGGACGGGUGAGUAACACGUGGGAACGUGCCCUUUGGUUCGGAAUAACUCAGGGAAACUUGAGCUAAUACCGGAUGUGCCCUUCGGGGGAAGGAUUUAUCGCCAUUGGAGCGGCCCGCGUUGGAUUAGCUAGUUGGUGGGGUAAAGACCCACCAAGGCUACGAUCCAUAGCUGGUCUGAGAGGAUGAACAGCCACACUGGGACUGAGACACGGCCCAGACUCCUACGGGAGGCAGCAGUGGGGAAUCUUGCGCAAUGGGCGAAAGCCUGACGCAGCCAUGCCGCGUGAAUGAUGAAGGUCUUAGGAUUGUAAAAUUCUUUCUCCGGGGACGAUAAUGACGGUACCCGGAGAAGAAGCCCCGGCUAACUUCGUGCCAGCCGCCGCGGUAAGAC